CCCCCCCACACACCUGGUCGCUAUGGAGAGCGGCCAAACAAGAUGGCGGCGCCAGUAGUCUCUCUCUCUCUCUCUCUCCCCCCCCCACACACCUGGUCGCUAUGGAGAGCGGCCAAACAAGAUGGCGGCGGCGCGCUGAGGCCCCGCCCCGCCCCGCCCCCCGCGGCGCUGGUGCCGCGAGUAGCAGGCAGCAGUAUUUCGCAGUCAGCGGCCUGGGCGCGUCGUAGAGGCACACCCCUACUUUUAGGGCCCACCUUGGCAACCACCACGAUGUGCUCCCUCUUGCUCCUCGCCUGUCUUCUUUCCAUGGUGGGGUCCACGUCGAUACCCCCACGCUCCCUCCUUGCCUAGCGUCUCAAGCAAACUCCGUGACAAGUGACCUUUCAUUUUGUUUUCUGGUUGAGCGUUCGUUCUGGGAACCGCGAGUCCUGUUCCCUCUCCACCCUGCUCCGUCUUUCUUCUUAGUAGCAAGAUCAAUCCCCCCCCACUCCUUCUGACAUACGGAGGAAAUACACAGCCGUCUGCCUCCUCUGCGCCGCCAGACACCGUGGUUUCUCAGUCGGCCGUCUCCUCUGCUCCCUGCUCCCCUCGUUGCAGCGACACCCUGCCUUCCCAAUCCCCCGUGCCAGUUUUUUGUCUGUCUUCUCCAUGCCCUCUUCCUGUUUUCUGGCGCUCCGCCGUGCACCUAUGUUUGUCUUCCUCUUCUUUCAAUAGCUCUCCGGACCCCAUGGACACUGCUGGCCCUCCAGCCGAGGCUCUUUGAGCGUGUCUGGGAUUCCUUCCCUGACUGUCCUUGCUCCUGAAGCCGUGUUUGCAUUUGACAGGUCUCAGAAACAGCGCGCCGUCCUCCAUCAUCUGCUGGCCGCCUUUGGUAGCAUCAGCUGUGCUCGUCUCUUUGAAGUCUCGUCUCCUUUGGCUUUUCAGACCGUCCUUUCCCGAUUCUCCUCGCCCUCCCGCCCAGCUCUACGGGGUUCAUUCUGACCUAUUUCCUGAAUACAAGUCCAAGUCCAAAAUAAAAAUCUCAAGGCUGUCUGGCGAUCACAACGUCCUUCUUCAACCCUACCCUACUGCCUUCUUGCUGACUGUGGACACCACCGUAUUCCCUGCCUUUUUUUGGAGCCUAUAACCUGGGCUUCAUCUUCAACCCUGACCUCUCCGUUGUUCCUCUCAUCCACCUUCCCUCUAAAUCUUGCAGUUUCUUUUUGCCUAAUGUCUCUUAGUGCUUUUUAGGGCUGUGCGAAACUUCAGUCCCCGAUUCAGCGGCCGACUCCGAAUCGAAUCAGAGAUUCAAAUCUCUCCGAAUUGAAUCAGAACCCUCUGAAUCGAGUCAGAGAGAUUUGGUGAUUCGGAUGUAGACAUGGCUUUAAAUGUUUUUUCUACGCACGGAGUAUCCCACAGAAGCGCGGGGGGCGCCCCAGCGUGCUCGGCCGCAGACCCAGAAGAGGAACAAAAGCACUACCGGACCGCUUCUGGGUUUGCUGCCUCCCCUCGCAUUCCUAUGGGAUGCUCCAUCCACCCCGACAUCACACCGUUCACAAGCCGCGCUCGGUACCUCGAGGUACAUAGAAAAAACAUGCAAAGCUGUGCCUGUGGCCGAAUCGCCGAUUCUCCAAAUUGGCAUUGAAUCCUCAGAUUUGGAUUUGGCCGAAUUGAAUUGGGGACAGUGAUCCGAAUCAACGAAUCAAACCGCUGUCCCCGAUUCGGGCCGAAUCUGAAUCCGAAUUGAGCUUGCUUCACACACCUCUGCUGCUUUUCUAUCCACGCAGCUAAACCUCUCAUCCCAGCAUGAUCUCAUUUCCUUAUUCAGACUGUCAUCUAUUGAAGGCUGGGUAGGACUUUCUUACUCUGUUGCUUUUACGGCACUUAGCAAAACACCCUCACGUUCUUCAGAUGCUUCCCUAACACAGUCUUGCUGUAAUUUUUAUGUAAAAGUUGACAAAGGUUAGGCUCCUGGUUCACCACAACCCCACCUCCCCCAUACCAAGAAUAAUAUUGCUUUCUGUUACUCCCUCAUGUACACUUUUCGUAUUAAGGACAGGGACAGUUACUCUGUUUGCACGGUGCUUGCAUGCCAUGGUACUGGUCCAAGACUGGAGUUUCCACGUGCUUCAGCUGUACUAAGUAAUACCAUAGCAGAAAGAGAUACUGGACAAAUAAAGGUUUUCAGAUCAGUG